CUUACUGGGCACACCCAGAGGCCACAUGUUCCAGGGUCAGAGAGACCAGGAGAAAUCCCAGCUUCUUCACUCAUGGCUGUGCAUCUUCAAGAAGGUGACUGUGCCUCUCUGAACCUCAGCCUCCUCUAUCUGACAGCACAAGGGUCUGCAAGUCUCUAGGGGCCAUGUGAGCUCCAUGGGGACCUCUCAUCUCUGCUGUGAAAGCAGCUAGGGGAAGUGCACGUGAGCUGUGUGGCCUCAUACCGACCAAGACCCUGGGGGUCACACCAGGCAGCACUGAGAAGCAGAGCAGAGGCCGCCACGGUGACCAGGGUUGCUGCUGAGACGCAGGGCAGAGGCUGCCAUGGUGACCACGGUUGCUGGCGAGACGCAGGGCAGAGGCCGCUGCAGUGACUAGGGUUGUUGCUGAGACACAAGGCAGAGGCCGCCACGGUGACCAGGGUUGCUGUCGAGAUGCAGGGCAGAGGCCACCACGGUGACCAGGGUUGCUGCCUGCCUGCCACACACCCCACUUGGGCCUCUGGCUGUCUCCUCUCCUGCAGAAACCCCAUGGGCGGGUGUGCAGCCAGCACGGAGGGAAGACGUGUGUGCCAGCAGAGAGAGCACGAGGCCUGGAGUUCUCAUCUGUGCCACCAGAAGCAGGGGACAGUGAAACGUCAUCCACAAUCACCAGGGAGACGGCUGCAUCCCAGGCAUCCCACACCAGCCCAGAAAUGUCACCGGUAAGCGCAACAGCAGACACUAGAAGAUAUGUCAUCCCUAUGCAUUAUCCAGAGAAAGUACUGGAAGGAAGCCAGCCACUGCCCAUGAGUCGGAGCAGAGGACACCCCCCUGACAUCAAGGUCUAGUGGCGACAGAAAAAUGCAGACAGAUCGAUAUGGAUGGUCAUGCUCACGUUCCUCACAGGAAACGGUGCUUCUGAACGUUCCUCACAGGAAACAGAGCUUCUAAACAUUCCAUCUUCCAAUAAGUCCAUGUCUGUUGUGUAUUGGCUGCAAAGAAAACCUCAAGGAACUAAAAAGUAGAAUAAUUUAAAUGAUCGUAUUAUCCAAAUAUUGUAAAAUAAAUAACAGAAAGUGCCACCUCUUCGCCCCAAAACUUAGAAACCAACACACUCCCAGGUAGCGCUUGGGUAAAACAGGAUAUUAAAUCUGAAUGUGUGCUCUCUGAAAAGCCAAGAAACCAUAAAUAUUGAUCCAGCGCUGAGGACUCAGCUAAUGCAGCGUCCAGAGCCCCCAGCACAGCUCUUGUUUUUUAGAGGAAACAAUAAACGGGAGGGGCUUUGUGCCAUCCUAAGAAACUAAAAUGAGAACAAGAAAGUGCAUUUUAAAAAGUAGGGAGAAUUAUGAAGAUAAAGCCAGAAAUUAAUGAAG